rnacentral:tRNA from 1 species
GGUAAAAUGGCUGAAAUUAGGCGAUAAAUUGUAAAUUUAUUUAUGGAUGAUAAAUUCUUUUACCA